UACGUAGGGUGCAAGCGUUGUCCGGAAUUAUUGGGCGUAAAGAGCUCGUAGGCGGUUUGUUGCGUCGGCUGUGAAAUCCCGAGGCUCAACCUCGGGUCUGCAGUCGAUACGAGCAAACUAGAGUGUUGCAGGGGAGACUGGAAUUCCUGGUGUAGCGGUGAAAUGCGUAGAUAUUGGGAGGAACACCAGUGGCGAAGGCGGCUCACUGGACUGGUACUGACGCUGAGGCGCGAAAGCGUGGGGAGCAAACGGG
rnacentral:rRNA from 1 species